rnacentral:rRNA from 1 species
UACGUAGGGUGCGAGCGUUGUCCGGAAUUAUUGGGCGUAAAGAGCUUGUAGGCGGUUUGUCGCGUCUGCUGUGAAAAUCCGGGGCUCAACCCCGGACUUGCAGUGGGUACGGGCAGACUAGAGUGCGGUAGGGGAGACUGGAAUUCCUGGUGUAGCGGUGAAAUGCGCAGAUAUCAGGAGGAACACCGGUGGCGAAGGCGGGUCUCUGGGCCGUAACUGACGCUGAGGAGCGAAAGCAUGGGUAGCGAACAGG